GAGAACACCUGAGAGGGGAUAGAGUCAGAGGAUGAAGCAGACUCCCUGCCGAGCAGGAAGCCCGAUGCGGGACUCGAUCCAGGGACUCCAGGAUCAUGACCUGAGCCGAAGGCAGUCGCUUAACCAACUGAGCCACCCAGGCGCCCCCAUCAUAGUUUUUUUUUUUUAAAUCUCAAAUAUAUUUGGAAUCAAACAAAUGUUUUUGGCAGCUAAGAGAGUAUGGUAUGUUAAUUUAUUUACUAAUGUCAAACUAUCCUUGCAGUCUAGAAUGAAUUACACUUAUUCAUGAUCUAUUAUCCUUUCAGUAUUCCAUUCAAUGAUCUCUUCUAAUAUUUUAUUUAGGGUUUUUUUGGUCAAUAUUCAUAAGUGAGUUUGGUUAGUAGCUUUCUUUUUGUUAAGAUUUGGCAAUAAUGUCAUGUUGCUUAUAACAUGUAUUUGAAAUGUAUCCUUUUCCUUUAAACUGUUCCAGGGCUCAGCAGAGAAGUUUAUCCUAUUUGGCUUUUAAAGAUUGGGUGCCUGGGUGGUUCAGCUGAUUAAGCGUCUGCCUUUGGCUUAGAUCAUGAUCCCAGGGUCCUGGGAUUGAGUCCCGCAUCAGGCUCUCUGCUCGGUGGGGAGGCCCUCUGCCUCUUCCCUCACUACCCCCUGCUCGUGCUCUCUUGCUCACUCUCUCAAAUAAAUAAAUAAAAUCUUAAAAAAAACCUUUUUUUAAAGGAUUUGCUCACAUGAUUAUACUGGGUCUUUCUGAGAGGUGGCUUUUAAAAAAAGCUUUUUUGUUUUCUUCUGACUUUGGUUUCAAGGUAAGAAAGACUUUCCAAUUUAAUUUUAUUAAAAGUGUUUGGUCACACUUUUGUAUUGCCUGUUAAAAAUGUCUAUCUUUAGCUAAUUUUGUGCUUGUUCUUUAAGAAGAUAUUAUAUCAUAUUUUGGGUUAAAUACUAAUUAAAUAUUUUAUGCUAAUAUUUUGAUAAAGAAUGCAUUUUUCAAGCAGCACAACAACUCUGACAACAACAACAAAAUACUUGGCUGAGUUGGCCAUAGCUGAGUUAAAUUUUAACUGGUGACAGUUACCCUAAUUUCAAAGCUGAAUAUUAUUACAUAAGAUUUGCCCUAUGUAUGCAAGCGUCAAAAAAACGUUUCUUCUCUAUGGAAUUUUUUUCUAAAAGCUUUUUCCGUAUUUCUCUUUUGGGGAUGCAUAGAUAUCUGAUUUCACAGUUCUCAUUCCCUUUCCUAAGCCAAGAAGAGAAGCCCAUCCUCUCUGAAAGAAUUUGUCUUCAUGCAACAGUGAGAUCUCACGGGCAAAUUCUUAGCGACGUGAUUAUCUUCUGGGUGCAGAACUCUAGUGGCCUGGGGCUUCAUGAAUGCUAGGAGACAUCACCGGUUAGAGGAAAGGAAACAAGAAUAAGAGAAACCAGACCAACUAAGCUGCAGCAACCUGUGAUCUGGCCACACUUUCCCCACCUUCCUCUUGCAACCCAGGGAAGCUUCCAGGAAAGCUCAUACUGGAUCUAGAAUUUCUCUAAGGAUUUCCUCACUCAUGAUAAGAUUCAACAAUCUAACUUUAAUACUAGACUAUGUGCUCAGUGGGGACUACGUGACUGAAUUCUCAGCCAUGGAAUGGGGCAAAAGUGAUGUAUGCCAUCUCCAGCUCUGGCCCCUUAAAACUCCUGCAGGAUUGGUAUUCUCUCUGCUCACCUCCAUGCAGGAUGCUGAAGGACCAGUGCAAGACUCAGAGGCCCUGGGGGAUGUCAGAUCCAUCCAUGGAAGUUGCUGAGUUCCUACGUCAUCCCAUGAAGGCCACCCACCGAACAUCCAUUAGAGAGUGACAUGUGCAAGAAAUGAACUUUAAUGAAAUCUGGGGGGUUGUUUGUUUCAGAAGUUAGGGUGCCCUAAUAGUCAAAGAUGAAUGGUGGGCUGGCAAAAAGAACAAAACAAAACAAAAAACUGAUUCCAUUUCCGUUUUCAUACUUGCCAUUUUAAAACACAGUGAGGAGGUUAGAGAGACCACUGCAAUAGCUCUCAUCUCCCAUCUAUUUCUCUCACAUAGCUACUCCCACAUCUUAUCCUCAUAUUCUCAGAAAAUUCCUCUUCCAGUCCUAGAACACACAGCUCUUAUUCUUCAACCUCAACUUCACUUCUUUCCUUCCAAAUCUGCAUCACAAAAUCUCGAAGGAUCAUUAGGUGAAAUACCUGAGGGUGGGAGAGAGAGAGAAACCAAACAGCUGUCAGCAAAGGGGAAAUAGUGGGAAAAUUCAUUUUUCCCACAAUAAAGAAUAUUGUAACAUUUAUGACAGUGAAAAUUUGGAAACCACUUAAAUGUGAAACAAUUGGAAAAUGGUUAAAUAAAUUAUGGCACACUUGGUACUGGAUGUAUGAACAAGAUAUAGUCCCUAUGCUCAUAGAGCUUAUAGUCUAGUAGAAAUAUUUUACAGCCAUCAACAACAAACAUGUUUUGAAAAUAUAGUUAAUAAUAUGAAAAGAAAACUAAUGGUAUAAUAUCUAGUGAAAAACUCCAGGUAAGGAGCUGCAUAUAUAGUAAUAAAAUCCCAAUUAAAAAAAAUGAUAUAAGUAAGUCUUUAUAUAUAUGUGUGUUUGUACAUAGAUAUGUAAGUGUGUAUACCAAACUGUUAAAAGUGAUUAUCUCUGGAUAUCAACAUUACAGGGGAUUCUUCUUUCCUUUUAUAUACUUUUCUAUAUUUUCAAAUGUUAAAGAUAAGUAAAUUUUUAAUAGUGGGUUUACAAACUAUUAUUAUUCUUUCCCUAUAAUUUCCUACAUUUUUCAAAUGUUAAUAGAAUGUAUAAUUGGAAAAAAGCAGCAAUUGGUUUUCAGUAUUUGAUACCACUGUAUCCUGAGAGAUGCAGAAGUGGCCUCCUGAUUUAGUAGACUUUUGCCUCCAAUAGCUCCAAGGACCUCUGUGUGUGUGUGUGUGUGUAAUCUAUUAUGUAUUAUACAUAUAAUCUAAUUGGAUUUUUACAACAGAGUGGAGUAUUCCCAGAGCAUAAACAAUUUGCAUAUGCUUACUUUGACUAUGUCACCAUGGACUCUAAUGAAAUUGGGCUGGCUUCCCCUUCAAAAUACAAGCACUAGAAUUUCACCAGAUGGCUUUUAAGCAAGCAAAUUCAUAUUCUUAAAAUAUGGAGAUGAAAUGAUUAAGAGCACUGGGCAAUUCUGUUCAAAUUUAUUUAGGAAUUUUGCUAUGCUUUCCUCUUGCCAAUAUAGAAAUCUAUAGAGAUAUUAAAAUGCAAUUUACAUUGUGCUUAAAGAAAAUGACUUUUGCUUAAUACAAUACAGAGCCACUGAAUGCUAACCCCCAUGACAUGUGUGCCUCCUUGAACUACCAAAUACCAUUGAGAGGAGUGAGUGAAUUAUCGUAGGUGAUUUUAAUUUAGAUUACUAAAACAUUUCCAUAGACAUAGAAGUCUGAGUUGAUUAAACUUUAAACUUAUCUGAUUAUAGCACUUAUUAUAUUAUGGUUGAAGUUACAGGAAAGUACUUCAAUUGAUUGGAUAAUUAUGAAUAAAUAGGGAAGGAUAUGACUUAGAAAAUGUGUUUCAAUUAUUUAAGUGAUUACUAUGUGAAGGAAAUUAAGAAACUGAAAUUGACUUGACACUGUAUCAGAUUGCCAGGCAGAAACUCUGACUAUGAAUAACUUCAUGGUGUCUAUAAUGCCAUCAGUUUAGACACAGGUCUUAAUUAUUCUCUUAGUUUACUAUUUACUUAGUUUAAGAGAUAAAAAGAUAAGGAUAAAAAUAUGAAAAUUCAACUAAUAGAAGCAUUUCACCAAUUGGCAAUUUGUCUCUAGCUCAUUACCUCAGUUGUUUUUAGAGAAGUCUCCCUACAAAAGUGCGAUCAGGUGUGCUAAACAGAUCUCAGAAAAGGAAUCAUGAAAGGUAUUUUUACUGGUUCAUUUGGUCUCGGACUUCUAAUUCCCAUUGACAGAGGGGAUCUUGUCUUGUAAUUUAAAUACCCGUAAGAUGUUAUUCUAUCAAAUCUUUUCUUUUGCUGAGGCUAUGAGUAGUUGGAUAAAUUCCUGGCCACAUACGUAGGAAGUGGUAGAAGAGCAAGUCAAAGGCUGCUUUUCAGAUUCGAAAGCCCACACAUCCUCCCAGUUCCCAGGAUGCGUGCUGCCAUGUCCCAUUGCAUCAGACUUUGGUCAACUUGGAAGACUUUUUUCAGGUUCAUCAAAUCUUUCUAGUCAUGUGACCACAGAUGACUACAUCUCUCAUUAGAGUGGAACAUUUGUUACAAUUGCUGAACCAAAAUUGAUAAAUUAUUAUUAACCGAAGUCCAUAGUUUACAUGAGGGCUCACUCUAUGUCUUAUACAUCCUAUGGGUUUGCCAAAUGUGUAAGGACAUGGAGCCACACAUGUAGUGUCAUACAGAAUAGUUUUACUGCUCUAAAAAUUCUCUGUGUUCCACCUAUUCAUUCCUCCUUACCCCAGACCCCUGGAAAUCACGGGUCAUUUUGCUGUCUCUGUAGUUUUACCUUCUCAAGAAUGUCGUAUGGUUGGAAUCAUGCAGUAUGUAUCCUUUUGAGACUGGCUUUUUUCACUUAGCAACAUGCAUUUAAGGUUCCUCCAUGUCUUUUCAUGGCUUGAUAGCUCAUUUAUUUUUAGCACUGAAUAAUAUUCCAUUUUCUGAAUGUACUACAGUUUAUCCAUUUGUCUACUGAAGGACAUCUUGGUUGACAAUUAUGAAUAAACCUGCUAUAAACAUCCAUGUGCAAUUUUUGCGUGAACAAAGCCACACAAAAGUUUUCCAUUCCUUUCGGUAAAUACCAAGGAGUGCAAUUGCUGAAUCAUAUAUAGGGAUAUUUUUAAUUUUGUUAGAGACAGCUAAAUUGUCUUCCAAAGUGGCUGUACCAUUUUGCAUUCCCACUAGCAAUAAAUGAGAGCCCUUGUCCACAUCCUUGCCAACAUUUGUUGUUGUAAGUGUUCUGGUUUUUGGCCAUCCUAAUAGGUAUGUAGUGGUAUCUUGUUUUAAUUUACAUUUCCCUGAUGAUAUAUGAUGUAUGCUUAUUUGCCACUUGUAUAUCUUCUUUGACAAGGUGUCUAUUAAGGUCUUUGUCCCAUUUUUUAAUUGGGUUGUUUGUUUUCUUAUGCACAAUCUAAUUUAAUGUAGUUCUCAAUCUUUAUAAGUAAAGUCUUUUACUUUGUUUCUUGCAUAACUCUCCCCUGCCUUCUCAAAUAAAUUACCAGGUUUGUUUUGCUAAUAUAUUAAGAUUUCUUGCAAUUAUGUUCAUGAGUGAGGUUUGGUUUGUAGGUUUCUUUUCUUGCAAUGUUUUUAGCAAGCUUUGAUAAUGAAGCUUCAUAAAUUAUAUUAGUGUUCUCUUUGUAUAUUCUUUGGUAAUGUUGUCCUGUAAAGUCAGCUUUCUGUGAGACUAUGAUUUUUUUUGUAUAGGUUUUUAAUUACAGACUCAGACUUUCAAAUUGUUAUGGACUGUUCAGAUUUAUUAUUUCUUCUGUAUCAGUUUUUGUAAGUUUUAUUUUUCUAGAAACUUAUCUAAUUCAUCUCUUCUUUUUUCUUCAGCUAAUAUCUCCAGGAGUUGAUAAGUUUUAUUAUUUUUUUAAGCACACAAGUUUUGGCAUAGUUAAUAUUUUCUAUUAUUUGUUUCCCGUCUCCCUUAGGUCUGUUAAAUCCCAGGCUCUGGACCUCCUAGGGUAAAUGCCUGGUGAUUCGGCAGGGCUCUUGUUGCUGCGGGAGGAGAGUCCAAACAAAGCAGAGGAUAGAUCUUGGCCACAUGGACAUGAUUUCCUGACACUCUCAUGUUAUGAAUUUCCUGAGGCCUCUCAUGUUAUGACUUCUGUGUGCUUAACCAAUACCUUAAGCAUCAAUUAUUUUGGAAUAAAACAAAAUAAAACCAAACACAUAAAAAAACUUUUACCAGGAAGUGUUUGUGGUAUGAAGUUCUCUGGAACGUUCCUCCUGUGUCAUGCCUCCCUUUUUUGCCCUGCUCUUGAUUCGCAUUGGAUGGAGGUGGUUAAUAUACUGGAGCCCGGUGAAGUGACAAAGAGCAUUUCUCAAAGAAACCUGAGCAAAGUGAUGUGAAUGUUUGACAGCUUUUCUUUCACUUGUAUGAAGACCUGAAUGCUCCUGGAAGCCACUUUUCUAAGCCCUCUCCAGGUUUUGCCAUGCAGGUCCAUGUCCAAAUGGAAACCAGCUUCCUGAAACAUGAAUUGAGGAAUUGUCCAGUAGAGAGAUUCAAAAUGGCAAGAGAAGACAGUGCCCUGAGGUUUGUCAGACUGUUGAUGUGACAGCUCUCAGCAGUUUCCAGGACCCAAUAGCAGCAAAAUCCAGAAGGAUGAGGAAAUCUCAGGGGUAUUCAGAUGGCAAUGACUACAAACACUCAAGACAGCAGAAAACUGAGGACAGCUGUCUCUACUCUUCACCUUGUGUAAAGGGACUGACCCAUGAACAGCUUCAAGAGCACUGGCCUUGCAAACGUAAAUCCAUACAUUAGUUGCAGUCAUUCUUCUUCAAGUGGGCAUCCUGCCCUCGCCGUCAGUGUGCAUCUGGGAGUAUCCUAUGCACGACCUUUCAAUUGACUCCAUUCGGAGAAUAAACAAGCCAGCCCAGCCUCAGGCAACAGUCUACACCCAUCUGUGCUCUCCUUUGGUCAGUUUAUACAGCCCAUGGAAUUUCGGAGAAACAGAAGCCCAGGAUUGAGAGACUUAUUCCAGAUCACACAGCCAGUGACUGGGGAUGUAUUUCAUGCUGGAGUUCAUAUUCUUUCUUAUUUAUUUAUUUAUUUAUUUAUUUAUUUAUUUAUUUAUUUAUUUAUUUAUUUAUUUAUUUGACAGAGAGAGAUACAGCGAGAGAGGGAACACAAGUAGGGGGAGUGGGAGAGGGAGAAGCAGGCUCCCUGCUGAGCAGGAAGCCCGAUGCGGGGCUCAAUCCCAGGACCCUGGGAUCAUGACCUGAGCCGAAGGCAGACGCUUAAUGACUGAGCCACCCAGGCGCCCCUGGAGUUCAUAUUCUAUCCAUGGUCCAUGCUGCCUCUCCUGCCGUGAUGAGGAUGAGAGCAUUGGAUUCAGUCCUGGGCUCACAUCUAUUUCUACACUGCUUGGAAAAGCUAAUUAGCAUACAUGAACUUCAGUUUGCUUGUCUAGAAAUUAGGGAUGGUAAUACUUCUACAGUGGAGUAGUUGUGAGGAAGGAGAUGGCAGAGGCCACAUGCCCUUAGUGUGAUGUCUGAAAUAUAGUUA